GUGGGGAAUUUUGGACAAUGGGCGCAAGCCUGAUCCAGCAAUGCCGCGUGCAGGAAGAAGGCCUUCGGGUUGUAAACUGCUUUUGUACGGAACGAAACGGUCCUGGUUAAUACCUGGGGCUAAUGACGGUACCGUAAGAAUAAGCACCGGCUAACUACGUGCCAGCAGCCGCGGUAAUACGUAGGGUGCGAGCGUUAAUCGGAAUUACUGGGCGUAAAGCGUGCGCAGGCGGUUUUGUAAGAUCGAUGUGAAAUCCCCGGGCUCAACCUGGGAACUGCAGUGGUGACUGCAAGGCUGGAGUGCGGCAGAGGGGGAUGGAAUUCCGCGUGUAGCAGUGAAAUGCGUAGAUAUGCGGAGGAACACCGAUGGCGAAGGCAAUCCCCUGGGCCUGCACUGACGCUCAUGCACGAAAGCGUGGGGAGCAAACAGGAUUAGAAACCCGGGUAGUCC
rnacentral:rRNA from 1 species